rnacentral:misc_RNA from 1 species
GUAGGUGAACCUGCGGAAGGAUCAUUAAUGAAUAAACUUGGUCGAGUUGCUGCUGGUCCUUCGGGGCAUGUGCACGCUCACCACCUUUAUAACCACCUAUGCACCUUUAGCUAGACUAUGAAUACCUCUCGAGUGAAAAUCUCGGAUUGAGGGCUGCGCCUAACCGUGCUUCCCUUGCAUUUUCAUAGUCUAUGUCUUCAUAUACCCUUUGUAUGUCUUUGAAUGUCUUUUUGUGGGUCUUUGACCUAUA